GGAAAGAAAAGAGAGCAUAUUCCUUCGUCGAAAUAACACGGACUUGAAAAUCACGUCAAAACCAAAUUUAAUAAUUUUCCUAAAGUCCUUUAUAGUUCCAUCUCUUUUUUUAUAAUUGCUUUCAAAUUCCGGAUUUUUUUUGCAAAUCUCGAGAGAGCGCAAAGCAGUAGCAAUCGAACGCUGGAAGAUCGAAAAUCUGACAAAGGUUUAAAAAUUCUUGUUGUUCUCAAAAUAUUAUCGUCAUGAGGCUCAGAAAGGGGAGUAAAGUAGAGGUGCUGAGCAAAAAGGAGGUGCCCUCAGGUUCCUGGUGGUGUGGCGAAGUCGUGUAUGGAAAUGGUCACUAUUAUGAUGUUAGGUAUUACCGUCCACUGGGUGACCAAGGCGAGCCAGUUGUUGAAAAGGUGCCUAGGAAGGACAUUAGGCCUCGGCCCCCUGCUCUGGGCUGUGAGGAGAAUUGGGUCGCUGGCGACAUUGCUGAGGUGUUUGAUAAUCACUUGUGGAAAAUUGCGGAAGUCGUGAACGUCGCUGGUGGAAAUUGCUUCUUUGUCAGGCUCCUCGGAUCUUCCCGAGAAUUCAGAGUCAACAAGUCUCACCUCAGGGUGCGGCAAUCAUGGAAGGACGGCCAAUGGGUCAUAAUUGGGAAGGAUUCGAGAAGCGGUGAAGAUAGAGACGCUAAUGAGCUGUCACUAGCACAGUAUUAUCAGAAGCCUAGCUGCCGAGUGCCACUGCCGGAUGUAAGGAUGAAAGUUCGAGCUGGAGGCAACCAUUUCCAGGAGCUCCCCACUAGAGGCGUGAAGAGAAAUUCACAGAGUUGCUUGUCCCAUGCUGAAACACAUGUUGGAGUUGGUCGAAAAAUCAGAGCGGUUGAGAAAGAGGGUCAAUGUCAGCGACUUCUUCCAGCGCUUCCUGCCCCAUUUCUGGAAAAGGGCCGAAGUUUGAUGCUUGUGCACCUCGCUUCCAAAGGCCUAAGAUUGGUGGGCUUAGUCACCUUUUUUCACUGUAGACUUGGUAAUAUUUGCCUCUGAUUCCCCAAAAGAAGCCAAUGGGAUUUUAAUUGUUCUGUGAGCAUGCGAUGCAUUCUGUGCUGAAUUCAGUGAAAGCAGAAACUUGUAAAAGUUCUGCUAUCAAGUUUCUGAGAUGUUGAUGCUUGAAAGAUAUUGGGGAAGACGGGAACCUGCUGAUGUCGAACAAAAAGGAUGGUCCCGUUCAUGUUAUGGGCCUCGUGGUUUGUACCUGCUCAAGACCUGCUCAAGACCUUUCUGUCACUAGUCAAGGUUCAGAAUUUUCCAUCAAAUUGGUGCCCUUCAAGGUGCUGGUGGAAAGAACCCUAUCUUACUAGUUGGGUGUUUGUGAGGCUGGGAUCAAUGUGCAUUCUUCGUCAUUUUUUGGGAAGGUAUAACAUAGUAUUGAUCAUUUGUGAUUGGCAUGCAGUGAUUGCCAAGGACAGUGGGAAAGGUUGCCACCUACUUGGUCUCCUUCCCCGACAGGUUGUGGGAAGCUUAAUUUUCAGUGGUUUCUCAGAUGGGAACUUGGGCCAGGCAGGAAACAAUGAGUGGUGAGGAGGAUGUCAGGCAUCAUUUUCUACAGCACAUGGAUUGAUUGACCAGGCAGAGGCAUUGGCUCUUGCCCCUUCACUAUGAAUUGAGAAAUUAGAGAAGCUCCUUUUUAAGGCGCCUUGUUGAUGUAUAAUGUUUUUCCUGUGGUUUCCUCAAGUGGUUAUCCUCCCCAGAAGCAGUCUUUUGAAGCAUGUGUAGCUUUUUUUUUUUUUGCUUUUUGGGGCCCAUUUCGACACACCCUCCAAAGCAGUAUUUGAUGCAUAAACACCAAAUUUAGGCAGACCUGUUUGUGUUGUGUUCGGAUGCAUUGCUACAGAGUCUGGUUUUCCAACUCAUUAAAGCGGCUCACUUGUGAAAAGCCAAUCUGACUCCCUCCUCUCUGGAAGUUCAACCAAACGAUCUGAUUGUUUUAAUGAAAUUCUGAGCAUCUUUCAAAACUCAAAGGAACAGAAAUAUUGCCAGUCUCUACCAGUGAAUAGUUGAUGUAAUUGUAUGGUCUGUAA